UACGGAGGGGACUAGCGUUGUUCGGAAUUACUGGGCGUAAAGCGCACGUAGGCGGAUUUGUAAGUCAGGGGUGAAAUCCCGGGGCUCAACCUCGGAACUGCCUUUGAUACUGCAAAUCUCGAGUCCGGAAGAGGUGAGUGGAAUUCCUAGUGUAGAGGUGAAAUUCGUAGAUAUUAGGAAGAACACCGGUGGCGAAGGCGGCUCACUGGUCCGGUACUGACGCUGAGGUGCGAAAGCGUGGGGAGCAAACAGG
rnacentral:rRNA from 1 species